rnacentral:miRNA from 14 species
UAUGUCUGUUCAUGUGUGUGUAUGUCCAUGUGUGUAUAUGAAUUUACAUAUAUACACAUACACACACACACAAGCACACAAAUA